CAACGAUAUUCCGAAAAAGUGUCUGCCCUAUCAAUCUGAUGGUAGUCUACCAGUCUACUAUAGUUAUUACGGGUAACCGAGAAUAAGGGCUCGGUUCCAGAGAGGGAGCCUUAGAAACGGCUACCACAAGAGG
rnacentral:ncRNA from 1 species